CAGAUGCAGGGAAGACAGUGCUUGCCAAGUAAAGUGUGAUAUCAACUGUGACAUGCCAGCCUCCCUGGAACCCUCACAAUGGUCCCUGCCCAACUCCUCUAUCCUGUGAGUCACCAGCCCAUCUUCAUGCUGUCCAGUCUCUAGCCACCUGCUCCCAGGUCUGUGACUCCCGCUGCAGUCCAGGCCUGGGCACGGCCCACACCUGCAAGCCUUUGCUCUGUUCCUCGGGCAGUGCACUGCCUCCUCCAGCUCCUCCUCAGUGUGCAGACAUCCUGUCUCCACCUCGCUUCCCAUUUGCUCUCCAGACUCCAGCUCACGGAUGCUGCAAACUCCAUGUGUCCAGAUCUCUACCUGUGGGGCUACCUUUACCUGCUGAUCUCCCCUGACCACAUGGAACCAGGACCAUCUAGAAUUCUACACUUCUAUUGUUCCUUCUCUUUCUGUCCUGUAUCUAUGGAAGGCAGAAGGAGACUGAUGUGGACAGAAGAGAAGGCCACACAAUCAAGGAGGCAGAGGCUGGACAGAUGAGGAAUGCUGGGGACCCUAGAAGCUGGAAGACAGGAAUGGAUUCUUCCCCAGAGCCCCCAGAGGGAGUGAGGCCCUAGGACACCUGGGUUUCGGUCCAGUGGCACUGACACUGGAUUCAGGAUCUCUGGGACACUGAAUUUCUGGUACCACAAGGAACAAUAGUAUGGAAAGCUGUAAGCUACUGUUGUUGUCAUUACUGCAGCACCCUAGAAAAAGAUACCUGUUCCCACAAUGUUCUUUGGAUUGCCUGCCCCUGGCCCACAGUGGUCUGUUCCAAGUCAGACUCUGAACUUCAUACUUAGCUCCCAGAGGGAGGGCCUCUACCUUGGCCACUUCAACUCCCCAAGAACACCAGGCCACUAUAUUAGUCACUUUCCUAUCACUGGAACAAAAUACCUGACAUCCACAACUUAAGGGAGAAGAGGUUUAUUUUAGCUCAUGGCUUUUGGAAGAUUCAGUCCACAGGUGGCUAGUUCCAAGGCAGAAAGGAUGUGGUGAGGACCUGGGCAGAGGACAGCUGCUCUUCCCUUGACAGCCAGGAAGCAGGGUGAGAAGGGAGGAGCCAGAGACAAGAAUAUCCCCUUUCAAGUCAAGAAUAUGCCCUUUCAGGUCUUGCCCCUAGUGAUCUGCCUCUCCUGGCCAGGCCCCACCUCCUAACAGCAACACAGCUAGGUGCUCAAUGGACUAGUCUACUGAAUACAGUGCCCCACGAUCCACUCACCUUCCAAAAGCCACACCUCUGCAAGUGAGACCUCUGGGGGAUAUUUCAGACCUCAACCAUAACAGACAGGGACAGGUGGGAUCCAACCACCUGUGGUUAGUGGAAAGUGACUGCUUUCACUGCAGUAGGACUCAGCCUACUUUCUGGAAAACACAACUCCCGAGUAUCCUCCCUUGGUCUCUAUCCCUUCUUCAGUACCCAUGGAGAUGCUCCCCUUCCCUCAAAAACAAAGUCCCAAAUCAGUUGCCUUUUCACUUGAUCCACAACCCCAUCCUGGUUUGUCACCUGAAUGACUGUAGAGGAAAAACGUGCAUUUCUAUUUAUUUUUUUAUUUUUAAGAAGUUUUUGUUGCCUUAGUUAACUUGGU